rnacentral:rRNA from 1 species
UUAAUUGAAGAGUUUGAUCAUGGCUCAGAUUGAACGCUGGCGGCAGGCCUAACACAUGCAAGUCGAGCGGCAGCACAGAGGAACUUGUUCCUUGGGUGGCGAGCGGCGGACGGGUGAGUAAUGCCUGGGAAAUUGCCCGGUAGAGGGGGAUAACCAUUGGAAACGAUGGCUAAUACCGCAUAACCUCGCAAGAGCAAAGCAGGGGACCUUCGGGCCUUGCGCUACCGGAUAUGCCCAGGUGGGAUUAGCUAGAUGGUGAGGUAAGGGAGCACCAAGGCGACGGUCCCUAGAAGGU